AAUCAGUGUGUUGCAGAAUUUUCUAGACUAUUUUGCUACAUUUUUGGGGGAAAAUCUUAGCUUUUCAUCUAUGUGCAUACUUGAGUGGCAAUGGUGGUGGCAUUUGUCUUAGAGAUAUUCAACUACUAGGUCUUAGUUAAGUUAAGAAGUUUGGGUAGAGAGAGAAUGGCAACAGAUAUGCAAAAAUUGAUAGGAACAAGUGAAGAAGAUGAUGAGGAAGAAAUGGACAUGGAUGUUAAAGAAGAAGACGAUGAAGAUGAAGAAAACAGAGAGAAGCAUAUUGCCACGCGAGUGAUGGUAGGGAUUGAAGGAGGGAUGGCAUCAAACAGUAGUAAUAAUCAGUUUCUACAUCACCAGCAUAUUCAAGAACAAGUUAGCACUCCAGGAGGGGGAGGAGGAACUCGGAGAAGUAGACCACUUGAAGAAAAGGAGAGAACUAAGCUAAGAGAGCGUCAUCGGAGGGCAAUCACUGCAAGGAUCUUGGCAGGUUUAAGAAGGCAUGGGAACUAUAAUCUUAGGGUUAGAGCUGAUAUCAAUGAUGUGAUUGCUGCUUUGGCCAGGGAAGCUGGCUGGGUAGUUCUACCUGAUGGAACCACCUUUCCUUCAAGAUCUCAGCAGAACUCAAGGCCACUGGGUGGCACUUCUGCAGCGGCAACUUCAUCAUCUACCCAUCUGGUGUCACAGCAGACUCCAUCUGCUUCCCUUAGGGGAAUAUCUCCUGGUUGCCGGACCUCAGUAGAUUACAAUUCAUGUCGACUGAAAGGUGUUUUUAUGCCUACUCCAUCACCCUAUGAUCUAUCCACAAGCACUCAGUCACAAAAUUCAGCUAUGAUGGGGGAUGGAGGAGAACAAACUGAGAGUCAUCCUCUCAUUGGUGGCUCCUUGGAUACUGUUAAUGAUAAGCAGGUAGUGGACAUAUCUCCAAAGUUAGCAGAGCGAGAUUUUGGCGGCACUCCAUAUGUACCAGUUUAUGUAAUGCUACCGUUGGGUGUCGUAAAUAUGAAGUGUGAGCUGGCUGAUCCAGAUGGUCUAUUAAAACAGCUGAGGGUAUUGAAAUCUGCAAAUGUUGAUGGUGUCAAGGUUGACUGCUGGUGGGGAAUAGUGGAGGCACACGCUCCAAUGGAAUAUAACUGGAAUGGUUACAAGAGGCUCUUUCAGAUGGUGCAUGAGCAUAAACUUAAGCUGCAGGUUGUGAUGUCAUUUCAUGAAUGUGGAUGCAAUGUUGGUGAUGAUGUUUGUAUCCCUCUUCCACAUUGGAUUGCAGAAAUUGGUCGAAGUAAUCCCGACAUUUUUUUCACUGAUAGAGAGGGAAGAUGCAACCCAGAAUGUCUCUCAUGGGGAAUUGACAAAGAACGAGUGUUAAGAGGCCGAACUGCACUUGAGGUAUACUUUGACUACAUGAGAAGCUUCCGGGUAGAAUUUGAUGAAUUCUUUGAGGAUGGUCUUAUCUCCAUGGUUGAGGUUGGACUUGGUCCAUGUGGGGAGCUACGAUACCCAUCUUGUCCUGUAAAGCAUGGUUGGAGAUAUCCUGGCAUUGGUGAAUUUCAGUGUUAUGAUCAGUAUUUGUUAAAAAACCUGAGGAAGACGGCAGAAGCAAGGGGACACCCAUUUUGGGCUAGAGGACCAGAAAAUGCUGGUACCUAUAAUACCCAACCACAUGAAACCGGAUUCUUCUGUGAUGGAGGGGAUUAUGAUGGCCACUAUGGCAGGUUCUUCCUUAAUUGGUAUUCUCGGGUUUUAGUUGAACAUGGUGAUCAGGUGCUCUCUUUUGCAAAGUUGGCUUUUGAAGGCACCCAAAUUGCUGCAAAGCUAUCAGGUAUUCACUGGUGGUACAAGACAGCCAGUCAUGCUGCAGAAUUAACUGCUGGAUUCUACAACCCAAGUAAUCGUGAUGGUUAUGCUGCAAUUGCAGUAAUGUUAAAGAAGCAUGCAGCUGCUCUGAACUUCUCAUGUUCUAAAUUGCGGAUGUUAGACCAGCAAGUGAACUUUGCGGACGCACUUGCAGAUCCUGAUGGAUUGUUGUGGCAAGUUCUGAAUGCUGCAUGGGAUGUCGACAUACCAAUUGCUAGUGAGAAUGCUCUUCCUUGCCAUGAUAGGGUUGCCUAUAACAAGAUUUUGGACAAUGCCAAGCCCCUGAAUAAUCCAGAUGGAAGACAUUUUUGGUCUUUUACAUACCUUAGGCUCAGCCCACUUCUCAUGGAGAGGCAGAACUUCAUGGAAUUUGAACGAUUUGUGAAGAGAAUGCAUGGAGAAGCAGUUCUUGAUCGCCAAGUAUAGCAGGAUGAAACCCAUCUAUAAUUGUGCAGUAUUUAUUUUUCCCCACAAAAUAGCUGGGGUAGCACUAGCAUGUUGCAAAUUAGGUGAUGGUAUUCAACUCAAUCCUGAAUUAGUGAGGAUCAACAAUCCCUUUUUCACUUUUAGAUGAAGUAACACCUCUGUAAAUGAAAUCACAAACUCACCGCAGUCAGGCUCUUAGAUCCAAGUUUCUUGACAUGCUUGCUUAUUAACUUAGGUUAAACUGUUUGAAGGUGUCAAAAUCUAAUUGAGUAAUUGUUUAUGUUACAUAAUUUAUGUACGAUUCAGAAAUUUUGAGAUCAUCAAUCAGUGCAAAAGUUUGUG
rnacentral:misc_RNA from 1 species